UACGUAGGGGGCAAGCGUUGUCCGGAAUUAUUGGGCGUAAAGCGCGCGCAGGCGGUUUUUUAAGUCUGGUGUUUAAACCCGAGGCUCAACUUCGGGUCGCAUCGGAAACUGGGAGACUGGAGUGUAGGAGAGGGAAGUGGAAUUCCACGUGUAGCGGUGAAAUGCGUAGAGAUGUGGAGGAACACCAGUGGCGAAGGCGACUUCCUGGCCUAUAACUGACGCUGAGGCGCGAAAGCGUGGGGAGCAAACAGG
rnacentral:rRNA from 1 species